rnacentral:rRNA from 1 species
UGGGGAAUUUUGGACAAUGGGCGAAAGCCUGAUCCAGCCAUGCCGCGUGCAGGAAGAAGGCCUUCGGGUUGUAAACUGCUUUAGUCUAGGAAAAAGGGGUGCGAGGUUAAUACCCUCGUGCUUUGAUGGUACUGGAAGAAUAAGCACCGGCUAACUACGUGCCAGCAGCCGCGGUAAUACGUAGGGUGCGAGCGUUAAUCGGAAUUACUGGGCGUAAAGCGUGCGCAGGCGGUCUUGUAAGACAGUCGUGAAAUCCCUGGGCUUAACCUAGGAACUGCGAUUGUGACUGCAAGGCUAGAGUGUGUCAGAGGGGGGUGGAAUUCCACGUGUAGCAGUGAAAUGCGUAGAGAUGUGGAGGAACACCGAUGGCGAAGGCAGCCCCCUGGGAUAACACUGACGCUCAUGCACGAAAGCGUGGGGAGCAAACA